rnacentral:rRNA from 2 species
UUUAUGGAGAGUUUGAUCCUGGCUCAGGAUGAACGCUGGCGGCGUGCCUAAUACAUGCAAGUCGAGCGAACGGACGAGAAGCUUGCUUCUCUGAUGUUAGCGGCGGACGGGUGAGUAACACGUGGAUAACCUACCUAUAAGACUGGGAUAACUUCGGGAAACCGGAGCUAAUACCGGAUAAUAUUUUGAACCGCAUGGUUCAAAAGUGAAAGACGGUCUUGCUGUCACUUAUAGAUGGAUCCGCGCUGCAUUAGCUAGUUGGUAAGGUAACGGCUUACCAAGGCAACGAUGCAUAGCCGACCUGAGAGGGUGAUCGGCCACACUGGAACUGAGACACGGUCCAGACUCCUACGGGAGGCAGCAGUAGGGAAUCUUCCGCAAUGGGCGAAAGCCUGACGGAGCAACGCCGCGUGAGUGAUGAAGGUCUUCGGAUCGUAAAACUCUGUUAUUAGGGAAGAACAUAUGUGUAAGUAACUGUGCACAUCUUGACGGUACCUAAUCAGAAAGCCACGGCUAACUACGUGCCAGCAGCCGCGGUAAUACGUAGGUGGCAAGCGUUAUCCGGAAUUAUUGGGCGUAAAGCGCGCGUAGGCGGUUUUUUAAGUCUGAUGUGAAAGCCCACGGCUCAACCGUGGAGGGUCAUUGGAAACUGGAAAACUUGAGUGCAGAAGAGGAAAGUGGAAUUCCAUGUGUAGCGGUGAAAUGCGCAGAGAUAUGGAGGAACACCAGUGGCGAAGGCGACUUUCUGGUCUGUAACUGACGCUGAUGUGCGAAAGCGUGGGGAUCAAACAGGAUUAGAUACCCUGGUAGUCCACGCCGUAAACGAUGAGUGCUAAGUGUUAGGGGGUUUCCGCCCCUUAGUGCUGCAGCUAACGCAUUAAGCACUCCGCCUGGGGAGUACGACCGCAAGGUUGAAACUCAAAGGAAUUGACGGGGACCCGCACAAGCGGUGGAGCAUGUGGUUUAAUUCGAAGCAACGCGAAGAACCUUACCAAAUCUUGACAUCCUUUGACAACUCUAGAGAUAGAGUCUUCCCCUUCGGGGGACAAAGUGACAGGUGGUGCAUGGUUGUCGUCAGCUCGUGUCGUGAGAUGUUGGGUUAAGUCCCGCAACGAGCGCAACCCUUAAGCUUAGUUGCCAUCAUUAAGUUGGGCACUCUAAGUUGACUGCCGGUGACAAACCGGAGGAAGGUGGGGAUGACGUCAAAUCAUCAUGCCCCUUAUGAUUUGGGCUACACACGUGCUACAAUGGACAAUACAAAGGGCAGCGAAACCGCGAGGUCAAGCAAAUCCCAUAAAGUUGUUCUCAGUUCGGAUUGUAGUCUGCAACUCGACUACAUGAAGCUGGAAUCGCUAGUAAUCGUAGAUCAGCAUGCUACGGUGAAUACGUUCCCGGGUCUUGUACACACCGCCCGUCACACCACGAGAGUUUGUAACACCCGAAGCCGGUGGAGUAACCUUUUAGGAGCUAGCCGUCGAAGGUGGGACAAAUGAUUGGGGUGAAGUCGUAACAAGGUAGCCGUAUCGGAAGGUGCGGCUGGAUCACCUCCUUUCU